rnacentral:rRNA from 1 species
CCUACGGGGGGCUGCAGUGGGGAAUAUUGCGCAAUGGGCGAAAGCCUGACGCAGCGACGCCGCGUGAGGGAUGAAGGUCUUCGGAUCGUAAACCUCUGUCAGCAGGGAAGAACGGUCACUGUGCUAAUCAGCAGUGAAUUGACUGUACCUGCAAAGGAAGCACCGGCUAACUCCGUGCCAGCAGCCGCGGUAAUACGGAGGGUGCGAGCGUUAAUCGGAAUUACUGGGCGUAAAGCGCUCGUAGGCGGUAUGUCAAGUCAAGUGUGAAAGCCCCGCGCUCAACGUGGGAACUGCCUUUGAUACUGGCAAACUGGAGUGUGGGAGAGGUUAGUGGAAUUCCAGGUGUAGGAGUGAAAUCCGUAGAUAUCUGGAGGAACAUCAGUGGCGAAGGCGACUAUCUGGCACAUAACUGACGCUGAGGAGCGAAAGCGUGGGUAGCAAACAGGAUUAGAUACCCCAGUAGUC